UACAGAGGUGGCAAGCGUUGUUCGGAAUUACUGGGCGUAAAGGGCGAGUAGGUGGCUAUCUAAGUCAGACGUGAAAUCCCCCGGCUUAACCUGGGAACUGCGUCUGAUACUGGACGGCUAGAGUAUGGGAGAGGGAUGUAGAAUUCCAGGUGUAGCGGUGAAAUGCGUAGAUAUCUGGAGGAAUACCGGUGGCGAAGGCGGCAUCCUGGACCAAGACUGACACUGAAAAGCGAAAGCCAGGGGAGCAAACGGG
rnacentral:rRNA from 1 species